AAGGGACAGGAAUACGUAGACAACCUACCCUCGGGACCUGAAUAGCUGCGGGAAACUGCAGGUAAUGCGGGAUAACGUCUCCGGACCAAAGGUGUGAGUCCGCCGGAGGAUGGGUCUGCGUCCUAUUAGCUAGUUGGUGAGGUAACGGCUCACCAAGGCAAUGAUGGGUAGCAGGUGUGAGAGCACGACCUGCGUCACUGGGACUGAGACACUGCCCAGACACCUACGGGUGGCUGCAGUCGAGGAUUUUCGUCAAUGGGCGCAAGCCUGAACGAGCGACGCCGCGUGCGGGAUGAAGGCCUUCGGGUUGUAAACCGCUGUCAGUGGGGAGGAAAUGCAUGUGGGUACUCCCACAUGUUUGACUAAUCCGCAGAGGAAGUGUGGGCUAAGCUCGUGCCAGCAGCCGCGGUAAGACGAGCCACACAAACGUUAUUCGGAAUCACUGGGCUUAAAGGGUGCGUAGGCUGUGCAGAAAGUUGGGUGUGAAAUCCGACAGCUUAACUGUCGAAGUGCACUCAAUACUACUGUGCUAGAGGAAGACAGAGGUAAGCGGAACUGAGGGUGGAGCGGUGAAAUGCGUUGA
rnacentral:rRNA from 1 species